rnacentral:rRNA from 1 species
UACGUAGGGGGCAAGCGUUACCCGGAUUUACUGGGUGUAAAGGGAGCGUAGACGGUUAUGCAAGUCAGAAGUGAAAGCCCAAAGCUCAACUUCGGGACUGCUUUUGAAACUGUGUAACUAGAGUGCAGGAGGGGUAAGCGGAAUUCCUAGUGUAGCGGUGAAAUGCGUAGAUAUUAGGAGGAACACCGGCGGCGAAGGCGGCUUACUGGACUGUAACUGACGUUGAGGCUCGAAAGCGUGGGGAGCAAACAGG